GACGUAGGAGGCGAGCGUUGUCCGGAUUCAUUGGGCGUAAAGAGCGCGCAGGCGGCUUGGUAAGUCGGAUGUGAAAACCCGAGGCUCAACCUCGGGCGUGCAUCCGAAACUGCUCGGCUAGAGGUAGGUAGGGGAGAUCGGAAUUCCUGGUGUAGCGGUGAAAUGCGCAGGAAUAUCGAGGAGGAACACCGGUGGCGAAGGCGGAUCUCUGGGGCCGAUGAACUGACGCUGGAGGAGCGAAAGCGUGGGGAGCGAACAGGA
rnacentral:rRNA from 1 species